UGCCAAAGGAGAUUAACAUUUCAGUCAGUGGAUUUGGAAAGGCAGACGCACUCUCAAUCUGGGUAGGCACAACAUAAUCAGCUGCCAGUGCGGUCAGAAUAAAAGCAGGCAGAAGAACGUGGAAAGAUCAGACUAGUUUAUUCUUCCGGCCUACACCUUUCUCCUGUGCUGGAAGCUUCCUGCCCUUCAACAUUGGACUUCAACUUCCUCAGCUUUGGGACUCGAACUGGCUUCCUUGCUCCUCAGCUUGCGACCUAUUGUAGGACCUCACCUUGUGAUUGUGCAUCUGUCUCAUUCACAAGUAUUAUCUCAACAUGUAACGCAGCGACCAAGAGACAUUUCACUUUUCUAACCGUAGUGAGACAAUUUGAUGUAUAAGGGAUGGCUGCAUAUGAACUU
rnacentral:lncRNA from 1 species